GACGAACGCUGGCGGCGUGCUUAACACAUGCAAGUCGAACGGAAAGGCCCCUUUGGGGGUCCUCGAGUGGCGAACAGGUGCGUAACACGUGGGUAACCUGCCCUUGACUUCGGUAUGACUUCAGGAAACUGGGGCUAAUACCGGAUAGGAAUCCUUGCUGCUUCGUGUGGGUUGGAAAGCUUCUGCGGUUUUGGGUGGGCUCGCGGGUUAUCAGCUUGUUGGUGGGGUAGUGGCUUACCAAGGCUUUGACGGGUAGCCGGCCUGAGGGGGCGACCGGCGACAUUGGGACCGAGGGACGGCCCAAAUGCCGACGGGUGGCAGCAGGGGGGAAUAUUGCACAAUGGGCGGAGGCCGGAUGCAGCAACGCCGCGUGCGGGAUGACGGCCUUCGGGUUGUAAACAGCUUUCAGCAGGGGCGAAGCUUGUGGUGACGGUACCUGAAGAAGAAGCACCGGCUAACUACGUG
rnacentral:rRNA from 1 species